CCCUUAGACGUUCUGGGCCGCACGCGCGCUACACUGACCAGUGCAACAAGCAUCCGUCCUUGGCCGACAGGCCCGGGCAAUCUUUGAACGCUGGUCGUGAUGGGGAUAGACUUUUGCAAUUUUUGGUCUUCAACGAGGAAUUCCUAGUAAACGCAAGUCAUCAACUUGCAUUGAUUACGUCCCUGCCCUUUGUACACACCGCCCGUCGCACCUACCGAUUGAAUGAUCCGAUGAAUAUCAUGGAUUGAGGAUUAUAGCAGGUUCGCCUGUCUUGAUCUUCGAGAAGUGAAGUAAAUCUUAUCAUUUAGAGGAAGGAGAAGUCGUAACA
rnacentral:rRNA from 1 species